GAUGAACGCUGGCGGCGUGCCUAAUACAUGCAAGUCGAGCGAACAGACGAGGCGCUUGCUCCUCUUACGUUAGCGGCGGACGGGUGAGUAACACGUGGAUAACCUACCUAUAAGACUGGGAUAACUUCGGGAAACCGGAGCUAAUACAGGAUAAUAUAUUGAACCGCAUGGUUCAAUAGUGAAAGACGGUUUUGCUGUCACUUAUAGAUGGAUCCGCGCCGCAUUAGCUAGUUGGUAAGGUAACGGCUUACCAAGGCAACGAUGCGUAGCCGACCUGAGAGGGUGAUCGGCCACACUGGAACUGAGACACGGUCCAGACUCCUACGGGAGGCAGCAGUAGGGAAUCUUCCGCAAUGGGCGAAAGCCUGAUGGAGCAACGCCGCGUGAGUGAUGAAGGUCUUCGGAUCGUAAAGCUCUGUUAUUAGGGAAGAACAAAUGUGUAAGUAACUAUGCACGUCUUGACGGUACCUAAUCAGAAAGCCACGGCUAACUACGUG
rnacentral:rRNA from 1 species